GUUGAACUGGACUGGAUUCAUCACCAUGGCCUGUGCCCCGCUCCUCUUGGCGCUGAUCAUGUGCAGUUCAGGGGUCUGGUCACAGCCUGUGGUGACUCAGGAGCCUGCGGUGUCCUCAGUGUCCCCAGGAGGGACUGUCACUCUGUCCUGCAGCCUGAGCACCGGAGCCAUCACCACCAGCAACUAUCCUGCCUGGUUCCAGCAGAAACCUGGCUCUCCCCCUCGGCAGCUUAUAUACAGCACCAACAGCAGGCCCUCGGGGAUCCCCACCCGGUUCUCAGGGUCCAUAUCUGGUCAGAAGGCCGCCUUGACCAUCACGGGGGUCCAAGCUGAGGAUGAUGCAGAUUAUUACUGUGCUGUGGCAGCUGGGGGUACUCACACAGUGAUACAGUCAGAUGGGGAAGUGUGA